UACAGAGGGGGCAAGCGUUGUUCGGAAUUACUGGGCGUAAAGCGUGCGCAGGCGGUGAUGUAAGACAGAUGUGAAAUCCCCGGGCUCAACCUGGGAACUGCAUUUGUGACUGCAUCGCUGGAGUACGGCAGAGGGGGAUGGAAUUCCGCGUGUAGCAGUGAAAUGCGUAGAUAUGCGGAGGAACACCGAUGGCGAAGGCAAUCCCCUGGGCCUGUACUGACGCUCAUGCACGAAAGCGUGGGGAGCAAACAGG
rnacentral:rRNA from 1 species